GAUGAACGCUGGCGGCGUGCCUAAUACAUGCAAGUCGAGCGAACAGACGAGGAGCUUGCUCCUCUGACGUUAGCGGCGGACGGGUGAGUAACACGUGGAUAACCUACCUAUAAGACUGGGAUAACUUCGGGAAACCGGAGCUAAUACCGGAUAAUAUAUUGAACCGCAUGGUUCAAUAGUGAAAGACGGUUUUGCUGUCACUUAUAGAUGGAUCCGCGCCGCAUUAGCUAGUUGGUAAGGUAAUGGCUUACCAAGGCAACGAUGCGUAGCCGACCUGAGAGGGUGAUCGGCCACACUGGAACUGAGACACGGUCCAGACUCCUACGGGAGGCAGCAGUAGGGAAUAUUCCGCAAUGGGCGAAAGCCUGACGGAGCAACGCCGCGUGAGUGAUGAAGGUCUUCGGAUCGUAAAACUCUGUUAUUAGGGAAGAACAAAUGUGUAAGUAACUAUGCACGUCUUGACGGUACCUAAUCAGAAAGCCACGGCUAACUACGUG
rnacentral:rRNA from 1 species